CCCAGCCCCUUACUGGCACCCAUUUCUUGGUGCUUAUUUUGUUGGGCUUUGCCUUUCUAAGGAAUUACACUAUUGGAGUUCUCCCUUGAGUCUACCACAUUUCAGUCAAUACGUUUGUAACCAUUU